AGAACGAACGCUGGCGGCAUGCCUAAUACAUGCAAGUCGAACGAACUCUUCGGAGUUAGUGGCGCACGGGUGCGUAACGCGUGGGAAUCUGCCCUUGGGUUCGGAAUAACAGUUGGAAACGACUGCUAAUACCGGAUGAUGACGAAAGUCCAAAGAUUUAUCGCCCAGGGAUGAGCCCGCGUAGGAUUAGCUAGUUGGUGAGGUAAAGGCUCACCAAGGCGACGAUCCUUAGCUGGUCUGAGAGGAUGAUCAGCCACACUGGGACUGAGACACGGCCCAGACUCCUACGGGAGGCAGCAGUAGGGAAUAUUGGACAAUGGGCGAAAGCCUGAUCCAGCAAUGCCGCGUGAGUGAUGAAGGCCUUAGGGUUGUAAAGCUCUUUACCCGAGAUGAUAAUGACAGUAGUCGGGAAGAAGUAACGCCCCGGACUAACCGUCCGCGCCAGCAGCCGC
rnacentral:rRNA from 1 species